rnacentral:rRNA from 1 species
UGCGAAUGCUGACAUAAGUAACGAUAAAGCGGGUGAAAAGCCCGCUCGCCGGAAGACCAAGGGUUCCUGUCCAACGUUAAUCGGGGCAGGGUGAGUCGACCCCUAAGGCGAGGCCGAAAGGCGUAGUCGAUGGGAAACAGGUUAAUAUUCCUGUACUUGGUGUUACUGCGAAGGGGGGACGGAGAAGGCUAUGUUGGCCGGGCGACGGUUGUCCCGGUUUAAGCGUGUAGGCUGGUUUUCCAGGCAAAUCCGGAAAAUCAAGGCUGAGGCGUGAUGACGAGGCACUACGGUGCUGAAGCAACAAAUGCCCUGCUUCCAGGAAAAGCCUCUAAGCAUCAGGUAACAUCAAAUCGUACCCCAAACCGACACAGGUGGUCAGGUAGAGAAUACCAAGGCGCUUGAGAGAACUCGGGUGAAGGAACUAGGCAAAAUGGUGCCGUAACUUCGGGAGAA